rnacentral:lncRNA from 1 species
CUUCUCUAAAGGGGUAUUUGGCAGCGAAAAGCUUACAUUGACCCCUACGGACGUUUUUGAAAGUUUCCUCUUCGGCUGCGGCCUAGACAACGGAGGCCUAUUCAGAGGAUCCGCCGGUUUGCUAGGUCUCGGCCGGAGCAGCAUCUCCUUCGUCGAGCAAACCGCCAAUAAAUACAACCGGUUCUUCUCCUACUGCCUCCCGUCGACUUCCAGCUCCACCGGUCACCUCACCUUCGGUGACGGAGGCUCUCCUAACGGCGUUAAGUUCACGAAGCUCAUCACGUCAUCCCAAAGCGAGUCGUUUUACGGCCUCGGCCUCGCCGGCAUCAAAGUCGGUGGGAGCCAGCUGUCGAUUGCGCCCUCGGUCUUUUCGUCUUCUGGAACGAUCAUCGACUCGGGGACGGUGAUCACGAGGUUGCCGGCGACGGCAUACGCAGUGUUGCGGGGCGCGUUUCGGGAGGCGAUGAAGAACUACACACUGACUAAUGGCGAUUCGUUGCUGGACACGUGUUACGAUUUCAGCGGCUUGAACACGGUGUCAUAUCCGAAGAUAGCGUUUGUGUUUGGGGAUGGACUUACGGUGGACUUGGACGCGACCGGGAUAUUGUUUCCGAUAAGUCCUUCGCACGUUUGCUUGGCGUUUGCCGGAAACAAGGAUGAUAGAGACGUCGGGAUUAUUGGGAAUCUUCAACAGAAGAGGUUGGAGGUUGUGUAUGACGUGGCCGGAGGAAAAGUCGGAUUUGCCCCUGCAGGUUGCGAUUGAGUAAUGACGUCGUCCAUGGGUAUAAGUGUAAUACAAACAGCUUGCUAGCUAUAGAAUAAAGCAUUGGGUUACAUAUUUGUGUGUAAUGUUUGUCUGUUGUAAGUCGGUGUCUCCUGUUUUUCUUUUUUGGGUUCUUAUUCUUAAGGGAAAUACCCAUGUAAUUCUUAUUUUCUAGAUAUAAAUUUAACUAUUUCUAAAUAUUUAAGAUAAGUCUUAAACCCAAAUUCCAAAUAUGCUGUCAUUUAAGAUAAUAUAUAUUUGUCCUAGUAUUAUCAGUUAAAUUACAAUAUGUGCCAUUAACCUUCAUCAAUUCCUUCCUUUGUUUGCAACUAAAUUUCAUUUUAGAAUCUAAACCGAACUCUGUGCGUGUCCGACACUUGGCGGGUGCCGGGCACACUUGACUAAAUUGCGCUUCUAACGAAACCGAAGUUCAUCUCAAGUUUGACUUCUGUUGAAAAUUCGGCAGAAUCUUCCAUGUAAAUAGUCGCUACCCCAAAUUGCAUGAAGUUUACAUUCAAGCAAUCCAACAACAUAACUAUAUGGCCUUAGGCUUUACAGAAAUCCUAGGGCAAUUUCAGAGCAAUACUAAUCAGUUUAAUUUACAGGAAUAGUUCAAUUAUAAAAGAAAUCCUACAUAGCGGAAAAGAUGAGUGAAGAGUGGUGACUACCCUGUGGUGGCGCUCUGGUACACGACUACUGCCUUAGGGUGCAAAACAUUUAAAAGUGUGAGUGGACAAAAAUAAACUUUUGGAAAAUAGAAUAUUAACAUACUAACCCCACUGUUAAAACAUUAUGUUCUAUAUUCGUACAAGAAUAAAGACAUACAUAUAACUAAUCACGCAUUCAAAUUCUCAAAACCUUUUGAAGGCACUGUAAAGAAAUAAUAUAUUUCUCACUUAGGUGUACCCAUCAUAUAUCCGUCAAUUCCAUGGUCUUUUACUUAUUUCCCAUAUUAUACCCUCAAUUCCUUGUGUCACAUAAUGCGACACAUCCUCGCAAGUCUCGGAAACACAAAGUCACCGGAGCCGCAUUCCUCGCAAGACUCAGGGGACAUUAAGUCAACCUGAGCCGCAUUCCUCGCACCACACGGUUCGGGCAUCCUCGAAACUAGUGGGGCAUUGUCAAACGCGCACUGACUCAACCGAACGCAACUAGAAUGUCCGUGGACAUUAUUAUAACCGUAGGCAACAAUUUUAUCCGAAGGCAACAUAUUAUUCGAAGGCAACAUAUUAUCUGAAUGCAACAUUUUAUCCGAAGGCAACAUCUUGGGUACCUAUGGUGGUUUAAAAAUAUUUCUUAGAAAAAUUAUACUUUUAUUUCUCAAUAAAUCCUUCAAUCAUAUUAUCACUUCCUUUCCUACUUUCCAAGCCUUUUAAACAUGAACAAAAUUUAAUAAAGAUAUUUGAAUUCAAAUAUUUAUGCUUGGAAAGUAAUAGUCAUAAAUAAUUCAUUCAAAAUCAAUCAAUGAAACUUUAAUUGCAUAAAAUUCAUUUACAAAACAAAAGUUCACUCACUGAGCAUCCGAGCUAGCCUGACUCUUUGAGGGUCUUUCCUGCACGUUCAACGAAAUCUGAGUACCUAUUUAAGCAAUUAAAACAUUUUAUUAAUAAAAUAGCUCAACCACAAUUACUUAUUCAACACCCUGACCCCCGGCCUCAUAAGUGCGUGUACGUGACUUACAAAGGUUACUAGGCCCAUUUUCAACAUUUCUGACAGGUGGAAUGGUCUGAAAAGACCCGAGUUUAAAAAAGCGAUUAAAUUUCCAUAUUGGUAAAUCCGGUACCCCGUCGGGUCCACGACCGCCGAUUACCCAUCUAAGAGUUCCUAUAGGUUCAACACACUUUACUAAACAUGCCCUGCAAGUUUGGUCCGAAUCGAACGAUCGGAUUACUCACGAUCGCACGAUUAUCGUUUAACUUAAACUUUGAAAUAUUGAAUCAGAGUAUCCGAAACUCCGAUUCUCGAUCCGCGAAUUUCUACAUGAUCCCAGAAGCGCCUAAAUCAACCUAAUUGAAAAUGAAGUAGAUCCAACGGUCCCAACAUAUCAAACCAGGAUAACGCCUAAUAUACGAUAUCUGAUCGACGAUCAAACAAUAACCAAAUUGAAAUUCGAGUAUACCGUCGCGCUCAGGACGACGUGGGGAUCAUUCUGGGACAAAAAUCCAACAUUGACACCCCGCCGACGCGCCGCCACCACUGGCAGGUAUAUUGAGUAAUUUUUCGGCGAUCGAAAAACUCCGAACUGCCAGUCAAUAAUCAUACCUACGGAUUAAGCACAUCAAGAGGAGUAAAUAUCAUGAAUCCAAUUGACAUUGGAACAAAGUUGCAAGGUUUGGAAAUGAAUGUAGAUGAAGAUAUGAUGGUUCAUAUUGCUUAGAAUUCACUAUCUAAGGAGUUUAAGUCUCUCAGAGAUACCUACAUUUCUCAAAAGGAAAGCUGGACACGGGAUGAUCUUAUCACCAUAUGUGUUGAACAGUAACACAAUAUAAUAAGAGAAAGAGAUGAAAAAAUGGUGAAUCAGAUGCAGUCAAAGCAAAAUAAGGAAUAUAGGAACAAAGCCAUUGCAGCUGGAAAAGAGAAAGAAAAUGAAAAGGAUAAUAACAGUCCAAAUGCUCUGAAACCAGUGGGAUUGAAAUGCUUCUUCUAUAAGAAAACUGGACAUAUGAAAAAGGAAUACAUAAGGUAUAAGAAAUGGUUGGACAAACAGAAAACUAAAGGUAAAAGUGAUCAAGUUUUGGUUUGCUUUGAAUCUAAUUUAGUUGAUUUUAUUGAUGAUUCAUGGUGGUUAGACAGUGGUGCAUCUAUUCAUGUGACUAAUUCUUUGCAAGGGUUCAUAAAGAGGAGGCUGCCAAGCAAGGAUGAAGUGAAGGUGUUCGUAGGAAAUGGUAGGGGUGGCAUUUUAAACCGAAAAACCGAAAAACCGCAAAAAUCAACCGAUAUUUUACCGCAAUAAAACCGCAAUCGCGGUAAACCGAACCGCAAUCGCGGUAUUAAGAACCGAACCGCAUUUACGGUUGCGGUUGCGGUAUUUGAUUUUCAAAAUUUGCAGUUACCGCAAACCGCAAAGUAUAGCCGCACGGCUAUACUCUAUGAAUAAUUAAGUAAAAUUGUAAACCCUUCUCUUCUCUUGAAUUGGUGGAAAGGGAACCAAACAAGAUAUCCUAUUCUUUCACAAGUUGCCAAGGAUAUCUUUGCAAUUCCAAGUUCUACGGUUGCUAGUGAAAAUGCUUUUAGCCUAGGCAAGAGGAUUGUGGAUCCUUUUAGAAGCUCUUUGCAUCCUAAAAUGGUAGAGGCAUUAGUGUGUACUAGUGAUUGGCUUAGAGCGGACGAAUUUUCCUUUUACAAGGAACCAACAGAUGAUGAGGUUGAAUUCUACAAGGAAAUGGAAGAUAUGACAACUUGUAAGUAAUUAGUUUAUUUAUGCUAAUGUUAUUUAUGCUUCUUCUUAUAAUAAAAUGUACUAAACUAUGUUGUUUUAUUUGUAGAUAGCAUUGGUGCUCAAACAAUACAAAGGGGUUCUUCAAAUCCACUCACCACCAACACUUGAGUUUGUAACAUUGGUGUAUUGCAUUUUUCCUUUUAGUUUGUAACUUUAAUUAACUGUGAAUUGGAUUUUUCUUUUUGAUUGUAACUUUAAUUCAUUUUGCUUUUGGUUUGUAAAUUUAAAGGAUUUGGAAUUGGAAUGCUUGAGAAGUUUAACUUUAAUUGGAAUGUUUGGAAUUGUAACUUUAAUUUUCUUAGGUUGUGAAUGCUUGAGAAUUGGAAUCGAUUGUGAAUUUAUAUAUGCUUGAGAAAUUGAGGUUGUAUAUUUAUUUAUUUAGGUUGUAAAUUUAUAUUUUUGUGAAUGCUUGAGAAUUUGCGGUUUUAAACCGCAAAUUCUCGGUAACCGACCGCAUUUUUGCGAUUUACCGCAAUGCGGUAAACCGCAAAACGCGGUCGGUUUGCGGUUUCAAAAAUCACCAAACCGCAAAUAGUCGGUCGGUUUGCGGUUUGAAUAAAAAUUCGCGGUUACCGAACCGCAACCACCCCUAGGAAAUGGAGAAAAGUGCAAGUAGAUAAUAUUGGAGUAGUUAGGAUUGAACUAGAUUCUUGUUUUGUUUUUUAUUUAGAAGAUGUGGUUUAUGUUCCUUCAAUGAGCAAGAAUCUCAUCUCAGUUACUAGGCUUGUAAAGUCAAAGUUCACUUUGAACUUUGAUGAUUUUGGUUGUUCUAUUUUUAGAAAUAAAAGCUUAAUUGGAAAAGCAAGUAUUGUGGAUGGUAUGUUUCGAUUAAACUGCAAAAAAACUAUGCAAAUCAACUUAGUUCAAUCCAAACCAUGCAAAGAAUUAUAUUUUAAAUUGUGGCAUAAGAGACUUAGACGUAUUUCAAAGGCAAGAAUCAAUACUUUAUGCAAAGAAUUAGUUGUACCACCAUUGAAUCAUGAUAAUGCAGAUGAUAUAUGCCUAGAAUGUACAAAGGGAAAAUUGACCAACCUAAGAAAGAACGGUGUUGUAAGAAGUCAAAGUGUAUUAGAAUUAAUCCAUACAGACAUAUGUGGACCAUUCCCAACUCCAUCAUGAAAGGUUUAACUACUUCAUCACUUCUACAGAUGACUAGUCGAGAUUUGGACAUGUUUUUUUAAUCAAAGAAAAAUCCAGUGCUUUGGACAUGUUCAAAAUUUAUAAAGCUGGAGUGGCACUACUACAAAAAAGCAAAAAGACGACGGUAAAUCACCGUCGUGUAUUCGGUUUUUCAAUGGUCGUGGAAUCCACCAUCAUCUUUUCCCUCAUAAACCACGACGCUAAAUCACCGUCGUUGUUAAAAUAUACAACGUCAUCAACAAAUACAAAACGACGUCUUUGUACUGCAAAAAGAUCUAAAAAAGCAGUCGAGGAUGAGAAUAGACGACCAACUCUCUAAAAAAACCGUCGUUAAAAAGGAAAAAUAUGACACAUAUUAAGAGAACAAGGCCGCAAGAUAGACAUACAACGACGAAAAUAAAAAUACGACGCCGUUAAAUAUCAUUUUCACGACAAUAAAAAAUUUGACAUCUUUAAAUACAUUAGAAGACGACGUUAUUGAUACCUACUACGUCGCAUAUAUAAAAACAGUCGUCGUAAAAUUAAUUUUCCACUUCGAUUUUUCGAUAAAAGAUGACGUGGAAAUAGUUGUCAGUGUCAUUAUUUACGACGUAUGUAUUUAUAGAGUAGACGUUGAAAAACGAAACAACGUCGGUUACAAAUAUAUGAGAGUCGUAUUACAAAAUUUAUACGUCAUAUUUUCAGAAACAAACAACGACGAUAAAUAUUAGACGUUGUUAAAUAAAACAACGUCGGAAAACAAUAAAAACAGACGUGUUUAGUCUGCUAAAGUUCUAGAAAAUAGUCGAGGAUGAGAAUAGACGACCAACUCAAACAAAUCACCGUCGUUAAAAAAGAAAAAUAUGACACAUGUUAAAAGAACAAGGCCGCAAGAUAUACAUACAACGACGACAACUAAAAUACUACGCCGUUAAAUAUAAUUUACACGACAAGAAAAAAUAUGACGUCUUUAAAUACAUGAGAAGACGACGUUAUUGAAAUAUACUACGUCUCUUAUUUACAAACAACCGUCGUGAAAUAAAUUUUUCACUUCGAUUUUUCUAAAAAAGAUGACGUGGAAAUAGUUGUCAGUGUCAUUAUUUACGACGUAUGUAUUUAUACAGUUGACGUUGAAAUGCGAAACAACGUCGGUGGCAUUUAUAUAGUCGACGUUGUAUUUAUAUCUAUCAUCAUUACUCACGACACACUUAAUAAUAUAGACGACGUUGAACUUCUAAACAACGUCGGUUCCAAAUAAAUGAGAGCCGUAUUACAGAACAUAUAGACGGCGUUGAUUAUGAUGAGAGCCGUAUUACAAAUAACGUCGUUUAAUUGUUAUUAGACGGCGGUUAUAAUGAAUUUCCGUCGGAAUUCAUUUCGUUCCUCUUCGUUUAUAAAAGAACUUGCGACGUGAAAAAUGUAUGAUGACGUCGUAUUUUUUAACGUUCAGAUUAUAUAUCUCGUUUUUUAGACGUCGGUAUUAUGGGAUUGGAGUCGUGUUAUUUUGAAUUACAUGGCGGUUCUUAAUCCUUCCCCGACGUGAUAUCCUGAAUAAUUGCUUCACAAUAGCGUCGUGGUUCUUCAUUGUUACGUUGCUUUAAGACGUCGGUAAAUAUGCUGAAUAACUGGUUCACAAUAACGUCGUGUUUUAUUUGAACGUAGAAAGUGAAGAAAUCACAUUACAAUAUAUUAUAAAAUUAAUGUCAUACACUGCCAAUUACAUAAGCAUCAUUCAAUCCAUAUAUCUUCACACCCAUCUCGAAUAUUUUGACCGCCUAACUCACCCACCAGUUCAUCAAAUGUGUCAACAUUUGGCAUCCCUCUAGUAAAUGGCUCACACUCAAUUAUCACAUCACCUAAGACUUCAUCACCAAUAACAUCAUUAUAUUCUCUAUUAGGCAUUGAUAACACUACUGACCAACCACGAUGCAUCGGGUCGUCAACAAAAAAUAUUUGUUUGACUUGAGAAGCCAAAACAAAUUGGUCAUUCCUAUGUCCAAUUUUACUCAAAUCUACAAGGGUAAAUCCAAGUUCGUCGACUACAAGACCAGAACUAUCUAUCCAAUCACACCUAAAGACUGGGAUUGUAAACUUUUGGUAGUCAAGGUCCCAAAUUUCUUGAAUGACACCAUAGAAACCCAUAUUUGAGAGAAUUGGGUUUUUAUCCUUGGCACUAACACAUGGACAACGGAUAUGUAUUGUAGUUAGAAGAUUUUCUACAGCAAAGUUCAAAAAUGCUUCCACCCCAAAUUCAUAUGCCUUCGAUCUUCUAUCCGAGUGCAUCCAUGACUUAUCCAUCUCCGACACUAUAACCUAUUAUCUAUAAUAAAGUGAAAAUACAGGCAAUGACCAUCACUAUAGCAGAUUAUACAAUGAUCUAAUCGCAAGUAAUACACAACAGAGACGACGGGUUUUAAACAAAAACAGACGUAUUUGGCAUAUAUAGACGACGGAUUUUCAACAGACGUCGUCUAUUAUAAGUAAUACAAACGACGGUUUAUGAAAAAACCGUCGUGUAUAAGUAAUACAACGACGGUAGUUUAAAAAAACCGUCGUGUAAUCGUCGUCGUAUGCCUUAAAAUUUGUCGUGUCUCAGUUUAUUUUCAAGAACACAAAACCCAUUAAGAACACAACAUAUAUAUGAAACCAAGCAAGAAACCAACAUAUACAUGAAACCAAGCAUGAAAACAAUAAAUCCAUUCCCAAUUCAACAUAACAUAGGGUGAUUAAAAGAUACGACAAAAUUAAAUCCAUUCCCAAUUCAACAUAACAGAUAAUGUAAUCCAUGAACCCAUUAAACAGAAAAUCCAUGAACCCAUACCUAUAAGCACAUUAUUAACAGAUCGCAAAGCAUACACAUAAAACCCUUUAACAAAACAACCUAAUAUCACUCGAAUCGUUACUAGAAUCAUCACUCGAAUCCCCAUCUUCAUUAUCAGUUUCUUCCUUCGUAGGUACUAUUUGCUCCCCAUCAUUGGUGCACUUUGCACCUUCUCCAGAGCGGAAAAUGACAAGAUCAAAUAAAGGUGUACUUUUGCUGGAAAUCAACAUAAAAAGACACAGAUCACCAACUUCCAAAUGAUUGUCACGCACAACGUCCAUCCAACUACGCCUGAAUAAGAGCCAAAUCUAAAAAAAUUUAGGUCGCGCGAAAAUUUUUAGAGCUCGCGCGUUUUAAAACGUCGAAAGAAAAACCAAGGCGAAAGUUCUACAAGUACCGACGUAAAUUUAAUAUUCCACGACGGAAACUUCAUUUUUCGGAUUAAGAACGUAAGGCCGUUCAUUUUGAAGCUUCAUUUUUCGGAUUAAUUUUAAAUUUAUUUUGAAUUUUUUAUAUAACGACGACUGAAAAACCACGUCGGUGUUAAGAAAUUAAAGACGUUGUAAAUUAUAUAAACCGACUUACAUAUUAAAAUGACGUCGUUUAAAGCGUAAACCAUGUCGUAUGUUUUUCUGUACGACGUAAAAUAUGUAUUCCACGACGCAACCACCGUCGUUAAAAAUUAAUACCCUAAACCCAUAAAACUAAAUUAUACAAUUUAAAAAAUUAAGUUUAUAAAAGGUUUUAUGGUUUUAAAGCCUAACAUAUACCCUAGACUACCCAAAAAUUAUACUUUAAAAAUAAACCCCAAUAAAUAACAACCCUAAUCUCUAAACCCUAGACUCUAAACCCUAAACCAUAAAACUAGAAGUGAUUUUAUGACUCAUAAAAACAAUUUUGUUUUGGAUGGUCAUUUUAAAUUUUUGUUAUUCAAAAUGAAUUUUUUCAAGGUUUAUGUGGAAGAAAAUAUAUCAAUGACUUCAUAGGAGUUGACUUUUCAAUUUUCUGAUUUAUUUUAAAUUUAUUUUGAAUAUUUUGAUAUAAAAAUAAUAAAAUAUUCUUACCACAACAAUAAACCACGUCGGUGUUAAUAAAUUGUAGACGUUGUAAAUUGUAAUAGACUACUAAGUCGUUAAAAUGACGUCGUUAAAAUGAGAAACCAUGGCGGCUAUUUAACUAUACGACGUAAAAUAUAUAUUCCACGACUUAACCGCUGUCGUUACAUAAACGUCGUCGAUGAUACCCUGAACCCUUAAGAAAUUGAAGAUGUUGUAAACCAUAAACGACUCAAUUGUUCAAAGAACGUCGUCUAACUAUAUUUUUACGUCGUAUUUGUUUAAAACACGAAACAACAAAAUACGACGGUUUUUGACUUUAUUAGGUCGUUGGAAAAGUAUUACACGUCGGUUAAGCAAUUUGUAUGUUUGUUUUUUUUUUAAUUUAAGAAAACCUCAACAAAUUUUUACAUUACAUAUUAUAGAGAAAAUUUGUACAUUAUACAUAAAUAUCAAGUGUUCAAUAAUUGCCCUGUUUAAUAAUUUGGAAAACAAACUCUGCCCAUUCAUUCCGGACUUCAUCAAUGGCUUCUUGGGGGUAUGAAGCUUCCUGGUUUCCCUUGGCAUACUGCAUAAACAAUGACUAUUAGGGUUUAUAAAUAAAAAGAAAUUCAAUCACAGACGACGAUAUUUUUCAUAACCGACGUAGUAUAUCCAUUCAACGACGUUAAUUUUACAUGACCGUCGUUGAUAAUACAAAAAACGACGUGAAAUGUAUGAAGGUAAUUUCUUCUUACCUUAUUCUCAAACCCCAAGGAAGGAUCCAUGAUGAUGUCCCUCAUGAAGCGCAUCACAUAAUACCCGCAUUCGACAUUGCUGGGUUGCUUUGGUGUGCCUGAGAGAGUUUUCCAAAUUACAUUUUUACGUCCUGCUCGGCCUAUGUGGGUAUUAUAUAUUUUUAAAGCACUGUUCACGAUGUUUUUCGCCUCUUCGUCGACCACACGAUGACCUGGCAGAGGAUCCAGAAAAUAGACGGUCUCCUUCUUUGCUCUUACAAUCAGCAAGAUCCAAUGACGGCUGCACAAAAUUAAUAUAAAAACGACGGUUAUUUACAAAAACGACGUAUUAUAGUAUUUCACACGACGAAAUAAAGUAGAUAACGACGACAUUAUAUAUUUAUCACGACGAUAAAUAAAUACCGACGUGGUUAGUAGUUUCAAACGACUAAAUAAAAUAAAACACCGACGUGGUUAGUUUAUAAGCUGUCAUUUAUUGAAAAUCAUAAAAACAAAAUCCUAAGGAGACUAACCCUGGAUUGUAAGGCAUCAUGAAAAUCUGUUCACCGUCUGUCUUCUGAAGUCGAGCUGCUACCAGUCGUGAUCUUUCAGUUAUUGUGCCAGAGUUGGCACUAACUGUAGCAGGGUCGAUAAAGCUAACCAUGCUGCACAUAUUGGCUUGUUUCAAAACAUCGUGUAAGUACCUAAAUACAUAAAAUAAUAUAAACAAGUCAGCACAAACAAACACGACGGUUAUGUAUAAAAAAACGACGUAUUAUAAUAUUUCACACGACGUACUGAAAUAGAUGAGGACGUUAUAAUAUAUUUAUCACGACGGUAGUUAGUUAAGACGACGUGGUUAGUUAGUUAAGACGACGCAAUAUAUAAACCAACGAGGUAUUAUUUUAGAAGUACAAACCUCAUAUAUACAGCCAAUACAGUAGCUCCAAUUUCUUCCAUGCCUGCAAAUUGUGUAAUAUCUUCAGGCAGGAGGAAGGUAUCGUGCUCACCACCAAACACCUCCUUAUCAAUUGUAAAUUGGAGUGUCUUAUCCUCAGGCAGGAGUGUCGUUUCCACAAAAUGACAAAGGGUUUUUAAAGAAGAUGGCGCCUCCAUAUUUGAAUAAGCACCAACUUCAAUAACCUGUUUAAAGAAAUAAAAAAAAUGACGUGGUAAUUCAAUAAAGACGACGGUUUAAGGAAUAAAACGUCGUCUUAAAAGUAUUUAAACGACGGUGAAAAAACUGUCGUGGUAAUUCAAUAAAGACGACGGUUUUAUGAAUAAAGCGUCGUCUGAAACCAUUUAAACGACGGUGCAAAAACCGUCGUUUAAAUAUUUUAUUACGUCUUAAAAAAAGUCCGCCGUCUAAGUUUUAAACAAACGACGGAUUAAAUAAAAAUAUCGACGUCUGAAAUUUUGAAAAACAAAUAAAAAAAGGCAAAGUUAUGUGAACAUACCUUGUCGUCAUGCUUUUCUUCAUCUUCUUUCUCCUUUUCUUAUUCCUUCUCUUCAUCUCUUUUUUCUUCUUCCUUCUCUUCAUCUGGCUGAUGUUUCCCCAUUUUGGCAGUAUCAUCCUCCAAAUGUAGGGAUCUCACAUCACCUCCAGAGCAGCUAGCUUUGUCAGACAUUGGAUUUUUGGGGCUUUGGCUAAUUCUUGGUUUAAGCAUGCUUGGAUCAAAAUUGGGAAUUAAUUGGGAAAGCUGACUCAGGAAAUGCUCCCUCUCAGCCUCUACCAAUUGUUUUGUCCUAGCCUCCAUCCUUAAGGCUUCUUCCCUUGCCUUAGCCUCCAUCUUUUUAGUCUCUUCUUGAAGGAGAACUCUUAAACUGUCCUUCAAACGGUCGUCAAAGCUCACCCUCUGUGGUUUGGGCAAAUUGAAAUAUUGCCUUGGGGAAACACCAGCACCAACUCUCCUCACUCUGCCUGGAUGCUCGGGGCCCAAAGCCAUGGUCAGCACAUCAUUGCUGCCAUCUACUCUGACUUUGCCUUCCGAGACUUGUUUCUGCAAUUCAUCCUAAAACAAAGAUAAACAAAAAAACACACGACGGUUAUUUAUUUACAAACGACGUAUUAUAUAAUUUCACACGACGCAAUAACGUAUAAACCGACGUUAUUAUAACUUAUCACGACGGUAGUUAUACCGACGUGGUUAUUUAUUUAAAACGACGAAAUGAAUAAACAACCGACGUCUUAUGCUAUAAUUAAAGAAAACAGAGUAGUGAUUCCUAUUUAGACCGUUAACGACGUUUUUAAAAAAGUUUCGACGUGGUAAUAUCAUUCAAACGACGCGAAAAUGAACCACCGACGUCUUAUGCUAUAAUUACAGAAAAUUAGUAGUGAUUCCUAUUUAGACCUUUAACGACGUUUUUAAAAACUUUUCGACGUGGUAAUAUCAUUCACACGACGAAAAAUAUAACAUACGACGUAAUAAGAAUAAUUCACAGUUUAAUAAAAAUUUAAAACAGAGUGAUAGUAGGCUUACAAUUAAUUUUGCUUUCUCUGCCACCUUUGGAUCAGGGAUGUUACCAUGUUUGUCCUGUCUAGCUCUCUUCCAUAAGGUAGAUCGAUCAAUUUCUACCCCAGGCAUGGUUUCCUCCAAUUGAUCCUCCAAUCCAGCAUAUCCUUUUCGAGACAAUCGAUGAUUGUACUCGAGUUUCUUCCUAAUCUGUGCAUGUUGAGAAUGCACAGACUCAAAAUCUUUGGAUAGCCUUGAAGCUACAAAGGCAUCCCAUUGUGCUUUCUCUAUGAAUUUAUAUGUUUCAGGGGGUUGGCUUAAUUUCUCCCUGUCAUUGGUGUAUGGAAGGAUAUAAUGCCUCGUUAGUGUAGACUUGAAAUCCUUCCAUUUCUGGAAGCAGAAGCUAAAACAGAGGUCUUGCCCCCUUGGCCUACGACAAAAGCCAUGUCAACUGCUUCCCAAAUCUGCUCCUUUAUAUCCUUGGGGAUUUGGGACCAUUUCUUGUCCACAAGUGGGAUCCUGGAGCGUGCCAACACACCAAUAUACGACUGCAUCUCAAUAUGUGCUUGGCCAACACCUUUCCCCCUUUUAUUGUACUCAACAAUUGGCCUCAGUUUCUGAAGCUUUCUCUUCACAACACGAGGCAUUGUGCUCAUACCUCGACCAGUCUUUGAAUCAUCAGAGAUUGUUGUCUGGCUGGUUGGUUCUGUCUCAGCAGAUGAUGAAGCAAACUUCAUCUUCUUCGAAGACUUCAUCUCCUUCGAAGACUUGUCUUGAGGAGCUACCAUUCCAAGCUUCUUGGAGCCAGAAUCCUUAGUUUGUUGUUGAGAAACCAUUUUAACAGACAAAACUGCAAGUGAAAAUAUUUCAGGAAAACAUUAAGAACACAAACGACGGUAUUAAAAAAAUACGACGUAUGAUAUGAUUUUAGACGACGCAAUGAAAUAAUCUCAGACGUAAUAAAUGUUUAAAACCAUUAUUUAUAUAACGUCGUGGUAUAUAUGUUCACACGACGUCAAUAGUAAUACACCGUCGUGGUAAACUAUUAUUUAUAUAACGUCGUGGUAUUUAUGUUCAUACGACGUUAAUAGUAAUACACCGUCGUGGUAUUAACAUUCACACGACGUAAAACAAUAAGAUAUUUUGUCGUCUAUAUUAGAUACCAACCCUAGUUUCUUUUUCUUUAUAUUUUAUCAAAUAAGGGAAAAACAAAAACCAUUGUUCAGAGAAAUCAAACCUGCAAUUAAACAAGCAUAUAAAAAAAGACUAUUAUUUUAAAAACAACUUUGUCAAUUUUCAGACGACGCUAGAACAACUGACGAACCGUCGUGGUCUACCGUCGUCUUAUUUAGUUGAGGUAGUUGUCUUCAAAGUUGGAAACUUUCCCUCUUUGUCUGUAUAUUUUAUCAAAUUUGGAAAGAAGUACAAUGAUUUUGGCCAGAAAAAAGGUAAAAAGAUUUUUCAAACAAAAAACGUAUGAGCAUGCAAAACAGUAACCAAAAUAGUGAAAAUGAAAGCUUACCUUUUGCGUGCAAUGAAAGCAAGAGGAAGAUGAUCGAUGUUUAAGUUCAAGGACGACGAAGAAGACGAGAGGAAGACGAUGAGAAACUCUGACAAUGCUCUGACAAGGAAAAAAGACGAAAAGGUUUCUCUGGAGAUUGAAAUUUUUAAUCGGGUUUGGAAACAGUGCAUGUGUAAGUUCAAAAGUUGCUUACAUAUAAAACCAUUUCAAAAAAAUAAUACGGCGGUUACAUUUAACUACGUCGUUUUUAACUAACACGACGAAAUAUUUUUCGUUCGACGUGGAAUCAUUUCAUUUAACGUCGUUAGGUUUAAUAUAACCGACGUGGAUUUUAAUUUUUAAAUUAUGAAUAUAAUUUUUUUUCCCGUGACCUUUCAGUUUAUUUUUCAAUUACAGUGCGUUAUAAAUAGAGUUCUUUUUCCAGAGGAAAUUUAAAACGAAGGAAAUUAAUAUUCUGCAAUAUGUAAAGUUUCUUUUUUGGAUGACAGAUUUAAAUAAAAUAAGAAUAUAAAAAUAACUAAUGUGUAAGUCAAGUAGACGAAAAGUUGCUUACAUAUAAAAUCAUUUCAAAAAAAUAAUACGGCGGGUACAUAUAACUACGACGUAUAAAGUACAAAAUACGACGGUAAAUUUAACUUCGGACGUGGUAAAUAAAUACGACAGUAGUGUUGUAGGUACCGUCGUAGUAAACUCAAAAAUUAAAGUACAUAAGUAAUAACUCGCGUCAUGGUAGAUUAUUUAAGACGUCGUGAUUAUUAAUGUACCGACGUGGAGUUCUGUAAUAUACGUCAGUAAUACCGACGUUGAUUUUACAAUUUAAACGGCGGUUUUUUGGUAAGGACCGCCGUUGGUUUUAAAAAUUUAUUCUAUAAAUUUGUCGCUUUCAUUCAUUUUCGCGGUUUACAUUUAGGGUUCCAAGUUCUUCCUCUCUCAGAGACACUGUCUCUCACAUCUCAAAGACAAUAAUUUGGAGGUCUUUCUCAAAGAGAAAUUGAGCUUACAUUUAGGCUAGUUGACAAGAAGAAGCUUGUCAACUAGCCUUCUCACUUCCUUGAUCAAGCCUGAUAGGACACUUAGUGCUUCUGAAUACUCCUUGCUUUCCAUCAAAAGAGAUGCAAGCCUGGCCUCCACUCGUUGUCGAAGGAAAGUUCGCUUCUCAGGGAAAUCUGAAAAUCAGAUGUGCUUGAUCCUCUGCUUGAUUUUUUUGACUAAGAAGAUCCGUCAGAUUUAAGCAUGAGCAAUCGAAUCCGUAGAGCUUCAGAAGAAGAAGAAGACAUUGUCAAUGCUUUGAACUAUACAAGUCUGCAGAAAGAUAAAGGACCAAACUGUUAAAGAAACUGAAACAACGGCGGUUUUCUGUUCUACCGUCGUCUUUUCUCGUCGUCUAUAUUAAGGUAAGAUGGCGGUAGAUUUAUAAUUACCGACGUAGAUUAUUUUGUUAAACGUCGUUAAGUGUACUACAACCGACGUGGAUUUUAUUUUUAAAUUAUAAAUAGAGUUUUUUUUCCAGACUUCUUUCAGUUUUAGUUUUCAAUUACAAAGCGUGAUAAAUAGAUUUUUCUUUCCCGAGGAAAUUUAAAAUGAGGGAAAUUAAUGUUCUAGAAUUUGUAAACUAACACGACGCAAUAUUACUAACCCGAGGAAAUUAUAAAUAGAUUUUGCUUUCCUGAAGAAAUUUUAAAUUAAUUCAGUUUGAAACAAAACGACGGUUUUUUGUUAUGCCGUCGUUUUUAACUAACACGACAGAUUUAAAUAAAAUAAGAAUAUAAAAACAACGACUGUUUUUUUACUACUGUCGUCGUUUUUCGUCGUCUUAAGUAAGACUAAGACGACGUAAUAUAUUUGUUGAGCGACGUUGAUUUGUUUUUAAACGUCGUUAGGUAUAAUAUAACCGUCGUUGAAAAUUGUCUCUCUGAUUGCAAAUUUGCAACGACGUUGAUCAACUUCCAAAAAAUUGUCUCUCUGAUUGCAAAUCUGUGUCAUCUGUUAAGAUUAUUUUGUAUUUUAAAGCCGUGGAUUUGUUUGUAAUUAUACGGCGUCUUAUACGAAAACCUCGUCGUGUUAUUUUAUGAGUAAAAACGGCGGCUUUUAUUGAAAUCGUCGUCUUUACUUUCUACGUCGGUCUAUUCAUAACUUCUGCCGUUCUUUGUUUGCUUUGAUUUUACAUUGCGGAAAUCUGUUUCAAAUAGACGUCGGUUGUUUAAUUAGGUACGUCGUUGUUUUUGAACAGCCAUUUGAAUCUCCAUUUUUUAGUUGUCUAAGGUGGUAUUACACGACGGUGUUUUUAGAACCGUCGUCUUUUUAAAAACCACGACGGUUUUCACUUAGACCGUCAUUGUUUUCUGGUCGUCUUUUUCACUUUUUGUAGUAGUGUGGAAAACCAACUAGACCUAAAGAUAAAAGUUGUAAGGCCUGACAGAGGAGGAGAGUUCUAUGGGAGAUUCGAUGAGCUUGGAGGAAUCUUGGUCCUUUUGCAAGGUUUCUAUAGCAAGAAGGAAUCAUUGCUCAAUACACUAAUCCAUAGACUCCACAGCAAAAUCGAAUUGCAUAGAGGAGAAACAGAACUCUAAAGGAUAUGAUAAGAAGCAUGAUGUGAUGCACAAACUUACCAAUUUUUCUGUGGGGAGAAGCUUUGAACACAUCAAAUCACAUACUCAAUCGAGUACCAAACAAGGGUAUCAACAAUAUCCCUUAUGAAGUUUGGAAUAAGAAAAAAUUACGCUUGAAACAUUUGAAAACAUAGGGCUGCAAGAUAGAGGCAAAGCUUUAUAACCCUAUGGAAAAGAAGCUGGAUUCGAGAACUGUAAGUGGUUAUUUCAUAGGAUAUCUAGAUAGAACUAAAGGAUACAGAUUCUAUUGUCCUAAAAACACUACCAGAUUUGUAGAAACUCAGAGGGCAAUGUUUAUAGAAUCUGAAGGUGAGACAAUCGAAGAUGAAAAUUUUGAGUUUGAUGAAGAUAUUGCAGAAACUGGGGAAACAAUACAAACUGACAUUUUGGUGUUACUAAGUUUUGACUUGAAUGGCAAACAAAACAACCAAGAAGGGCAAACUGGUACAGACCCUAUGGUCACUGAAGAAGAAACUCAAGAAAAUCAAGUUUUACUACCCGAAAAUCAAGAUGUAGUUCAAACACAAGAAGGAACUAAUAAUCAGACAAAUGCAGGACUAAGAAGGUCAGAAAGACCAAAGAAACGUGCUUUACAUAAUGAUUAUGUUUACCUUCAAGACUCAGAGCAUAAUGUGAAUGACAUUGAGGAUCCUAUGAACUUCAAGCAAGCAAUGAUGAGUAACAAAAAUGAAAAUUGGUGGGCUGUUUUGAAAUCAUAAUUAGGUUCCAUGGAAAAUAAUGGAGUUUGGGAGCUUGUGCCUUUACCAUAAGGGAGCAAACCAAUUGGCUACAAGUGAGUGUUCAAAACCAAGAGAAAUUCGAAGGGGUGGAUAAAUAGAUAUAAGGCUAGAUUGGUUACUAAGGGGUUCACACAGAAAGAAUGAAUUAAUUUCAAUGAGACCUAUUCACUUGUCAUAACAAAAGACUCCUUGCAAGUGAUCAUGGCACUAGUAGCUCAUUUUGAUUUACACUUGCCUCAAAUAGAUGUUAAGACUACAUUCUUGAAUGGAAACUUGGAGGAAGAAAUUUAUAUGCAACAACCAGAAGGUUUCAUUCAAGAGAAUGGAGAAAAUCUGGUUUGCAAGUUGUGUAAAUCAAUCUAUAGUCUAAAACAAGCAUCUAGAGAGUGGUAUAAGAUUCAAUGAAGUUGUUAAACUAUAUGGUUUUACAGAGAAUGUCUUAGAUAAGUGCAUUUACAUGAAGAUGAGUAGGAGUCACUUCAUAAUUCUGAUUCUUUAUGUAGAUGACAUUCUGCUAGCUUGCACCAACAUGUCCAUGUUACACGAUUGCAAGGCAUUCCUGGCUAAACAUUUCGACAAUGACAGAUUUGGGAGAAGCCUCAUACAUUUUAGGAAUCGAAAUUAGCAGAAAUAGAAAGAGAGGUUUGUUGGGACUAUCAUAGAAAACUUAUAUAGAAAAGAUACUCAAAAGGUUUAACAUGCAAGGCUGUGCAAGGUCAGAUGUGCCUAUUUCGAAGGGAGAUAAAUUUAGUACUAAUCAAGCACCAAAGACUGAUCAAGGAAAGCUUGAGAUGGCAGAUAAACCUUAUGCAUCAUUAGUGGGGAGUCUCAUGUGUGCACAAGUAUGCACAAGACCUGAUAUUACUUUUAUAGUAAGUGUAUUGGGAAGAUUUUAGUCAAAUCCUGGACAAGCAUAUUGGAUUGCUGGUAAAAGAGUCAUGAGAUAUUUGCAGAGAACAAAAGACUAUAAGUUGGUUUACAAAAGAAGUGACAGACUGGAAGUAGAAGGUUAUGCUGAUGCAGAUUUUGCAAGUUGCAAAGAUGACUUGAAAUCUACAUUAGGAUAUGUUUUCCUAUUUGAGCAGCAAUAUCAUGGAGAAGUAACAAGCAACCACUCACAAUUGCAUUGACUAUAUUGGCAGAAUUUCUGGCUUGUUAUGAAGUAACCACUCAAGCUAUGUGAUUAAAGAACUUUAUCACUAGUUUGGGUGUGGUUGAAUCAAUUCAACAACCUAUACAUCUUUGGAAUAAUAACAGUGCAAGAGUACUUUUUGCAAAAGGGAAUAAAAGAACAAAGGCAUCAAGAAUUCUGGAAGUUAAAUUCUUUGCUGUCAAAGAAAAGACUAGAGAUGGGCAUACUGUGUUGGAGCACAUUGGCACAAAUGAAAUGGUUGCAGAUCCACUUACUAAGGGGUUACCAAAUGUUGUUUUUCACAGACAUGUGAUUAGCUUGGGAUUGACAGUUCAUUUGGAUGACUAAAACAAUGGGAGUUUUAUCAAGUUCUGGUAGUUUAACUAGUUUUGCUAUUUUCUAUUUAAAUUCAUAGAGUGGUGUUUUAAUUUGGAUGAUUUUCAGUUUAAGGAUUCGAAUAUAGUAUAUUUAUGCAAUGUAGUUUAUAUGCACAUGUGAUUACUUGAAUAUGUGUGGGUGGCAUAGCAUGCAUUUAAGCUAGCCAUGAGAAGAUUGUAUUCAUGACAGUUUGUAAUUUUUGUUAUGCAAAUUGAGACCUUGUUAGUCAUUUAUAGGGACAAAGGAAUUAGAUGACUUUUGUUUAAAGCACUUUCAGUAAGGUCAUCUACAUUCUAAAGUUUUAAUCUUGAUCGAAGCCUUAUGUGGUGUUGAAGAGUUUUAAGUGUGAAUAUAAAGACUUUGAUAACUGUAUGAUCAAUAAGUCUCUUAUAAUUUUUCUUCAUUAACAACUUAGUGGGAAUUUUAUCUGGAUAUACUUUCACAAGGCCUUAAAGUGAUCAAUACGAGUUUUCCUUAGCGAUUAUUUAACCAAGUGGGAGACUGUAAGACAAAUCCGUGUCUUAGUCUAAAUUGUGGUCUUCUAAUCAUAUCUGGUUUGGAGGAGCUCUAAUUGAUCAGGAAGUAUUAAUCCUAAUACAAGUAGGAUACUCAAUCAAACAGUGCGUUUACAUUGAGAUAGGAGUAUCUUAAGGAUUCCUAAUUCUAUAUGGAUUAAAACAUCCAAUUCCUAAGUAAACAAAAUCUGUUUGAGUACUCCUUGAUGGGUAAGGUACCGGAACAGAUGCUUAUAAAUAAGGUCCCUUUUGUAUCGGCUAAAAUACACUCAUAACAGAAAACUCACCCCAUCCAGAGAUAGAGAUAAAGAGCCGAGUUGGAGAAGAAGAUUCUUAUUCACAAUGUCUGAUCAAGGUUAGUAUUUGAGAUUCAAAGACAUGAUAACUUAUAGUAUAUAUGGGUUGUUAAGAUUUUAUCCAGAGAUUCAAAGAAAGCUUUUUUCUUUUUAUUAAACCCUUUUCAUCUUUUUCAAUGGUGCACAGUGCAAUAUCCGAGUGGGGAAAUUGGGAAAUUAAAGGAUGAAAAAUAAUAAUUGGGGCAUGCCAAAUUGGCAAAUGCGUAAAGGAGAUGAAGCCUAUCAAAAACAUCAUUUGUUGGCAAUGGAAACUGCAGGAUGAUUGGAAGUUAAGCCAUCUAAAAUCUCCAUCAGUAUCUCUCACUCACUCAUCUUUUGGGACAGAUUCCAGCUUUCUUCCACCACCCACUACAACCUCUCUGUCUACCCCACACCCAAGCAAGAUUCCAAUUAAUCAUCUUCGCUCUCUGAUAAAAGAUUCCUGCUGUUAAUUUAUUCGCACCAGAAAUUAGGGAUGGCCCAUUCACAAUCAAACAAACACAAGAUAACUUUGCUGGACCGCUCAUUUUCUUUAAUUCUACUAAGGCAAUUACAUUAUUGUGACAACGAUUGUCUUAAUCUCAAAUAUCUUCAAGUACAGAAAUGAUAAGUAUUUAGUCUGGAUCAUAAGAAUAUAGUGGUAAAUACAAUUAGUUUCUACCUCAACCUUUUUGAGGCAUUUCGACGAACUGUUUAAGGAAAAUAUCAAUAGAUAACUGAAUUGAUGAGCCAGAUUAAGAACAUAGAUGUCCGAGUGCAGAAUAUAGUAAUUUAUAAACAAAUGAAAAUAGUAUUUUUCCAGUAAUAAUUUUUGAAAAGAACUAAUGAUAGAGACCAAUUGUUUAAAUUAAACAACACUUUGUUUUCUUGUAAUACUUUCAAUUAGUUGGAUGAUUGGUGUGGUCUUCGUGGACUCAGUUGUUAGUUGGAUAAUUAGUUAAACGACUAUAAUUAGAUGUUUUAAAUAGCUUUCAAUUGUCUAAUAUUUCAUAAAAAUCAACUGUAAAUUACGACUCAGAUGGUUGAAAUACAAUUUACUUCAAAAUAACAAAUUAUUCAACGUGUUGAGAAUGUUGUAUAUGGAGUCUACAUAGACUUGACUAGUUGGGUGUUAGGCAAUUAUGAAUUGAAAAUAUUUGUCAUCAGUAAAUGCUUGGAAAUUAAUGCCAUGUUUGGUAUGUCUCAUUAUGUCUUAUUGGACUGGACUGUGUUGUAUAGUACUUGAAAUCCAUAUUUGAUAAUGGAGGGGAUUAACUUAAAUGGGAUUAUAUAGUUCAUCAGUGUAAAAAAGCUCCGGACUCACUUGUCUAAUAUAGCAAUGCUGAAAUGUGGUUCGUAAAUUAGCGAGAACGCUAUUUUGAGCAUGCAGUCCAACCCUUGGCUUGAAUUACAACUUUUUUUUUAAUGAAAUAGGAAGGAAAAAAAAAACACGAUAACAAAAAGAAAAGAGAGAGAGAGAGAGAGAGAGAGAGAGAGAGAGAGAGAGAGAAAUGCUAGGAAAAAAAAUAAAAACAGAAAAAGAGAGAGAAAUUAAUAAAAUAAUUAUUUUUUAGUCCGACACAGAAUCAAACAUAGGUCUUCACUAUUUUUACAAUUCAACUAUUUAAUCCGACGUAACACCAAAAGUAGCUCAAUAUUUAAUCCAGCUUACGCCAAACGAACCCUAAGCCCGAUAACCCCAGUUGACAUCGUCCCUGUCUCCAAUUAGCCUAUAUAAGGCCAAGGGUAUGCUUACAUUACAGCAGCAACUCAAUAAUCUAGAGGUAAUCUUGUUAAUUAUUCAUGGAAACUCCCAUUAUUUUUAGCUCCUCCUUCCUUAGGUUUUUCAUGGGUUUCUUCUCUGUACUUCUAUGCCUAAUUCUCUGCUCUUUCGAGAACGGAUUUGCUUCGGCAGCAAGAGAUACAAAACCCCACCUUCUGCCACAUACCACUCACACAGUUGAAGUAAACUCUCUUCUACCAGCAACCACCUGCAGCCCCUCCACCAAAGGUUAAUUCAUCCCAUAUUAUAUAUAUAUAUAUAUAUAAAACUUAAUUUCAAUGCAUUUAUGUAUCUCUAACACACACUCUCUCUCUCUAUGCAUACAUGUUUCGAUGAUCUCAGGUCAUAACAAUAACAAGGCAUCAUCGGUAUUGAAAGUGGUGCACAAACAUGGGCCAUGCUCCAAAUUCCACAAAUCAUCAAAAACUUCAACCACAACUAGUGAUGAAAAAUACCAUGCUCAAAUCCUCAAGCAAGACCAAGCCCGAGUCAACUCCAUCCACUCCCGCCUCAACCACAACAACAACAGCAGAAUCAAAGACCCACUCACCCAAUCCGCUGCUACCACCCUCCCCGCCAAGUCCGGUAUUGUUAUCGGCUCACCGAACUACAUUGUCACCGUCGGCCUCGGUACACCCGCCAAGCAACUCUCCCUCGUCUUCGACACUGGCAGCGACCUCACCUGGACCCAAUGCAAGGCAUGUUCUGCUACUCAGUCUUGUUACAAUCAGACUGAGCCCAUCUUCGACCCUUCUCUCUCCGCCUCAUACAAAAAUAUCUCAUGUACCACCGCCGCGUGUACUCAGCUCUCAUCCUCCGGCAUCGAACACCGCUGCUCCGCCUCCACCUCCGCCUGCCUCUACGCCGCCGGGUACGGAGACAUGUCCUUCACUAUCGGGGUCUUUGGCAGCGAAAAGCUUACAUUGACCCCCACGGACGUUUUUGAAGGUUUCCUCUUCGGCUGCGGCCUAGAUAACGAAGGCCUUUUCAGCGGAUCCGCCGGUUUGCUCGGUCUCGGCCGGAGCAGCACCUCCCUCGUCGAACAAACCGCCAAUAAAUACAACCGGUUCUUCUCCUACUGCCUCCCGUCUACUUCCAGCUCCACCGGUCACCUCACCUUCGGAGACGGAGGCUCCGCUAACGGCGUUAAGUUCACGAAGCUCAUCACGUCAUCCCAAAGCGAGUCGUUUUACGGCCUCGGCCUCGCCGGCAUCAAAGUCGGUGGGAGCCAGCUGUCGAUUGAGCCCUCAGUCUUUUCGUCUUCU